rnacentral:rRNA from 1 species
AUUGAACGCUGGCGGCAUGCUUUACACAUGCAAGUCGAACGGUAACAGGCCUUCGGGUGCUGCCGAGUGGCGCACGGGUGAGUAAUGCAUCGGAACGUACCCAGAGGUGGGGGAUAACGCAGCGAAAGCUGUGCUAAUACCGCAUGUGAUCUGAGGCUGACAGCGGGGGACCGAGCAGCAACGUUUGGCCUCGCGCCUUUGGAGCGGCCGAUGUCGGAUUAGCUAGUUGGUGGGGUAAAGGCCUACCAAGGCGACGAUCCGUAGCUGGUCUGAGAGGACGACCAGCCACACUGGGACUGAGACACGGCCCAGACUCCUACGGGAGGCAGCAGUGGGGAAUUUUGGACAAUGGGCGCAAGCCUGAUCCAGCAAUGCCGCGUGCGGGAAGAAGGCCUUCGGGUUGUAAACCGCUUUUGGCAGGAACGAAACGGUGUCCGCUAAUACCGGGCGCUAAUGACGGUACCUGCAGAAUAAGCACCGGCUAACUACGUG